GAAAUUCACUGAGGAGUCUGGAUAUAUUUCGGCACAGGUUAUAUAUCUGUGACUAAUUUUAAGAACGACGACUGAGAGAAAUACAGAAAGCAGGAUUAAACAUAGAAGCUGAGCUGCAGUGAUGUUGCAGCAGAGGCGUCAGCCAAUCCAUUUGUAAGCACUGAGCCUUGGUGGCCUUUCAGAGUUUUCCACUUCAGAAAAGAGGAGAGAAAAUACUGGAGAGGGAUUCAGCUGUAUCCCAUUUAACCAAUAUUCCUGACAUCUGACAAAAUGAUUGCCUCACUC
rnacentral:lncRNA from 10 species